UUAAAUUAUUAUUUUACAUUGCCGGCGCUAUAGUUUCCUCCGCCACUGUAUUCACAAGGAGUAACCGAACAAAACGGUACUCUAAAAAGCAAACGACAAGAAAAAAAGGGAAAAUGCAAGAAUGCGCGCGGUCUUUUUCGUUUCUUUUGCAUUUCUCGCCACUUGCAUUUUGAUUUUCAUUUGAAAUAGCUGGUGCCCCUGUGAUUUGUGAAAUUAAUAUAUUCUAUGCGGUUUUAAUUUUCAAAAAAACUAUUUCAAAACAAAAGUGUGGACUUACAUCUACAUACAAGUAGUGUUUUUUAGGGUGGACCUAAGAACACAAAUUAUGUGAACAAAAAUAUCUUCAGUAGGAUAUUAAGUCCAAGUUUGAUAAUGGAGCUUAAUUAUGACGGUACUAGGGACAGGGAAGGUUUUGCGUCCUACAUUCAUUUAAAUGAAACAUUAUUCGAGUCACAAAGAAGAGACGGUUACCGCUUUACAGACCAUUUUAAAGACCUUCGACUGGCCUUCACUAGGGCCAAAAAUAAAACUUAUAAGGGUAAAAGUAUGGCCAAAAAGAUGAGAGAGGACGAAAACGGCCAGGA